GCUUACGGCCAUACCACCCUGAGAACGCCCGAUCUCGUCUGAUCUCGGAAGCUAAGCAGGGUCGGGCCUGGUUAGUACUUGGAUGGGAUUCUGCCUGGGAAUACCAGGUGCUGUAAGCU
ensembl:rRNA 5S_rRNA 5S ribosomal RNA